UACAGAGGGUGCAAGCGUUGUUCGGAAUUAUUGGGCGUAAAGAGCUCGUAGGUGGUUUGUUACGUCUGCUGUGAAAACCUAGGGCUUAACCCUGGGCUUGCAGUGGAUACGGGCAGACUAGAGGUAGGUAGGGGAGAAUGGAAUUCCUGGUGUAGCGGUGAAAUGCGCAGAUAUCAGGAAGAACACCCGUGGCUAAGGCGGCUCUCUAGUACGGUACUGACGCUGAGACGCGAAAGCGUGGGGAGCGAACAGG
rnacentral:rRNA from 1 species